GACGAACGCUGGCGGCGUGCUUAACACAUGCAAGUCGAACGGAAAGGCCCUGCUUUUGUGGGGUGCUCGAGUGGCGAACGGGUGAGUAACACGUGAGUAACCUGCCCUUGACUUUGGGAUAACUUCAGGAAACUGGGGCUCAUACCGGAUAGGAGCUCCUGCUGCAUGGUGGGGGUUGGAAAGUUUCGGCGGUUGGGGAUGGACUCGCGGCUUAUCAGCUUGUUGGUGGGGUAGUGGCUUACCAAGGCUUUGAAGGGUAGCCGGCCUGAGAGGGUGACCGGCCACAUGGGGACUGAGAUACGGCCCAGACUCCUACGGGAGGCAGCAGUGGGGAAUAUUGCACAAUGGGCGGAAGCCUGAUGCAGCAACGCCGCGUGCGGGAUGACGGCCUUCGGGUUGUAAACCGCUUUCGCCUGUGACGAAGCGUGAGUGACGGUAAUGGGUAAAGAAGCACCGGCUAACUACGUG
rnacentral:rRNA from 1 species